rnacentral:rRNA from 1 species
GCAAACCGGGAGAACUGAAACAUCUAAGUACCCCGAGGAAAAGAAAUCAACCGAGAUUUUGUAAGUAGCGGCGAGCGAAAGCGAAAGAGCCAGUGAGUGAUAGCAGCAAAGACAGAAGAAUUGGCUGGGAAGCCAAGCGACACAGGGUGAUAGCCCCGUAUUCGAAGUUUUUGUUGUGGUACUAAGCUUGCAACAAGUAGGGCGGGACACGAGAAAUCCUGUUUGAAGAUGGGGGGACCAUCCUCCAAGGCUAAAUACUCCUGAUUGACCGAUAGUGAACCAGUACUGUGAAGGAAAGGCGAAAAGAACCCCAGUGAGGGGAGUGAAAUAGAACCUGAAACCGUGUACGUACAAGCAGUGGGAGCCCUUUGGGGUGACUGCGUACCUUUUGUAUAAUGGGUCAGCGACUUAUAUUUUGUAGCGAGGUUAACUGAAUAAGGGAGCCGAAGGGAAACCGAGUCUUAACUGGGCGGCUAGUUGCAAGGUAUAGACCCGAAACCCGGUGAUCUAGCCAUGGGCAGGUUGAAGGUUGGGUAACACUAACUGGAGGACCGAACCGACUAAUGUUGAAAAAUUAGCGGAUGACUUGUGGCUGGGGGUGAAAGGCCAAUCAAACCGGGAGAUAGCUGGUUCUCCCCGAAAUCUAUUUAGGUAGAGCCUUAUGUGAAUACCUUCGGGGGUAGAGCACUGUUUCGGCUAGGGGUCCAUCCCGGAUUACCAACCCGAUGCAAACUGCGAAUACCGAAGAGUAAUGCAUAGGAGACACACGGUGGGUGCUAACGUCCAUC